CCCAAGCUUCUGGCUCCUGCAGCUCAUUCUUAGUCGUUCUCACUGUAUUAAAUAAAGUCCUUUCCUUCCCCAGGGCAGGCUGGCUAAGAUGGUGGACAGAUGUGCAGAGCCUUUUGCGUCUCCCACCUGCUCCCUGCUCCCUUCUGAACCUAGACCUUCACCUGUUUCAAAGCCUCUACCUGCUGAUGAAAAACAUACCCCUUCUAAACAAAAACAACACCUCAAGAAUAAGGAGAGGUAGAUUUGACAGAAAACUGAGGACCACAACCUGCAGUACUAAAAUUAUGAAUAAAAAUUCAGGCACCGCCUGGGACACAUCCAGAUUCAAUCACAGGAGGUGGGAACCCUUCCCAACAGCCUCAUGCCCUGAUGACUCAUCUUAUGCCCUGGGACAGAAGAUAAAUCAGCUGACUCUGGGAGACAAGAGCAUAUGGACCAGACCUUGCAGAACUCCCUUGGCAGGAUUCCUGGACUUGCAGAGAGAAAAGCACCCCACCCCGGAGUGCACAGCUGUCAAGACACUCUGUUUCACCUAAUUGUGUGUACAGUGUAUUCUAUGUAGCCCUGUGCCUUUCACUAUCCUAAUUUCACAAGAAAUCCAAGGCAAAGAGAUUAACUCACAG